UAGGGAAUCUUCCACAAUGGACGCAAGUCUGAUGGAGCAACGCCGCGUGAGUGAAGAAGGUUUUCGGACCGUAAAGCUCUGUUGUUGGUGAAGAAGGAUAGAGGUAGUAACUGGCCUUUAUUUGACGGUAAUCAACCAGAAAGUCACGGCUAACUACGUGCCAGCAGCCGCGGUAAUACGUAGGUGGCAAGCGUUGUCCGGAUUUAUUGGGCGUAAAGCGAGCGCAGGCGGAAGAAUAAGUCUGAUGUGAAAGCCCUCGGCUUAACCGAGGAAUUGCAUCGAAACUGUUUUCUUGAGUGCAGAAGAGGAGAGUAGAACUCCAUGUGUAGCGGUGGAAUGCGUAGAUAUAUGGAAGAAUACCAGCGGCGAAGGCGGCUCUCUGGUCUGCAACUGACGCUGAGGCUCGAAAGCAUGGGUAGCGAACAGGAUUAGAUACCCUGGUAGUCCAUGCCGUAAACGAUGAGUGCUAAGUGUUG
rnacentral:rRNA from 1 species